rnacentral:rRNA from 1 species
GAUGAACGCUGGCGGUAUGCCUAAUACAUGCAAGUCGUGCGGAAAGGCCUCUUCGGAGGUACUCGAGCGGCGGACGGCAGAGUAACGCGUAGGAACAUACCCCAAACUGAGGGAUAACUGCUCGAAAGAGUAGCUAAUACCGCAUGUGGUCUUCGGACUAAAGCUUCGGCGGUUUGGGAAUGGCCUGCGUUCGAUUAGCUAGUUGGUGAGGUAAUUGCUCACCAAGGCGACGAUCGAUAGCUGGUCUGAGAGGAUGAUCAGCCUGACUGGAACUGAGACACGGUCCAGACUCCUACGGGAGGCAGCAGUAGGGAAUUUUCCACAAUGGGCGAAAGCCUGAUGGAGCAAUACCGCGUGCAGGAUGAAGGCCUUCGGGUCGUAAACUGCUUUAUGUGAGAAGAAUUUGACGGUAACACAUGAAUAAGGGUACGGCGUAACUACGUAGCCAGCAGCCGCGGUAAU